AGGAGGAUCGGUCCCAUCCGCCUCCGCCUCGUGCAGAGAGUAGCCGCUGGCCUCAGGCCUCGUGCAGAGCCAGACUCCAGAGGCUUCCAUUCAUUGUUAGGGUAAUUUUACCACCAUUAUAAUACCUCUUUUCCUCCCCAUUAUCUCCCGCCGACUUCACUCGACCGAGAGGGCGCCAACGUGGGGAAGAAGAGCGAGAAGGAGGAGAACUCCCGGCCGACGGACCCUGAAACGGAGGAGAAGAAGAGGUUAAGAUACCUCGCGUUCUCGAAGAAGCUCCUCCGCCACGCUCCCUUAAAGCCCUCCUCUCCUCUGGAGCCCUCCAAGUCCGUCCUUAAGCUCCAGGGCCGCGACGUGGUUAAGUGGGGCCAGCGGAAGAGCCGCUACCUCUUCUCCGGCGGCCGCGUCGGCGAGCUCGGCGAGCUCGGUACCAAGAACCCCAUCCUCUACGUCGAGUUCCCCCAGGGUCGGAUGAAGUUGUUCGGCACGCAUGUGUACGCCAAGAACAAGUAUUUGACUCUCCAGCUCACGAAAUCGUCCAAGGGUGUGGUCUGCGAGGACACAUUCGACAGUUUGGAUAGUGUCUGAUGUAAUUCCUUUUCCUUUUCUUGGGUUUUCUUCUUUUUCCUUACUUGAAAAAAGAUGUAUGUAUUUUAUUGUUGGAGCAUUGUAGACGGAAAGUAAAUGCAGAAUUUAAGUCGGUAGUUGAUUAUAAAUAGAAGAAGAACGAAAUAAUA